GUCCCUGCCCUUUGUACACACCGCCCGUCGCUACUACCGAUUGAACGUCUUAGUGAGGUAUUCGGACUGGGCCUCUGGUGGUUAACGCCUCCAGUGUUGCCCGGGAAGACUCCCAAACUUGAGCGUUUAGAGGAAGUAAAAGUCGUAACAAGGUUACUGUAGGUGAACCUGCAGUAGGAUCAUUA
rnacentral:rRNA from 1 species